GUACCCGUUUUAAUACUCCUAUCAUUAUUUAUUUUUAUCUACUGCUUCUGAAUAAAUAAUCUCGUUCCGUUUUGAUUAGCAUGUUGAGUCCGUCUGCGAGAUUGACCGGGGAGAAGCAAGAAAAAAGACGUAGUAGGAAACAUCAACGCCGAAUAGCUCGACUUGGGGAGAAGAGAGCGAAGAGGGAACAGAAGGAAGACGAUGAAAUUAGCAUGUUGAGUCCGUUCUGCGAGAUUGACUGGGGAGGAGCAAGAAAGAAGACGCGAGAAACAUCAACACCGAAUAGCUCGACUUGGGGAGAAGAGAGCGAAGAGGAAACGGAAGGAAGAUGAUGAACGAGACGCACGUCUGUUUAAGCGAAUGGCCGAGAUGAGUAAAGUUACGGGUUACACAGAUGCUGGAGUACAGAAAGAGGGUCUUCGAGAGACAGGGGGUUUGAUGUUGGGAUAUUACCCGUGAUGAAUCUUUAAUGCUCCCUGUUAGACCAAUUUCGCUGGACAGCCCCUGUAUAUUGGAGUGGAUGGGAGGAUUUUCAAAGUUAGCACUUGACGAGCACAACAAAAACAAGGUAUGUGCGUGCGUGCUUGAGCUUUUGUUGGUUCAUUUUAUUCUUCCUUCCUCACCUAUUUGAUCAACUCCUCUUUCCUUGAUUUUGGAUUGAUUUCUCUCCGAAAUUGUAGAGUACAAACUACCAGUUUGUGAAGGUCCUCAAGGCAAACAUCGCUGGUAAUUAUAGUCGGCUCUACUAUAUUACCUUUGAAGUCAAGGAUAUGGCUCGUUCUGGUUCUCCCACUCUCAACUUCCAGGCUACUGUGAAAACUUUUAAGGGUCAGACAACUGUCUUGUGUAGCGUGCCUGAACUGUAAUCCUAUGUACUUCAAGUGGCAAGUGCCAGGCAUUGACCCUUAGAGGCAUCUACGGAGUACAAAGCAUGGUUGGUUCAAAGGACACAAGUCACAUAACUUAUAUGUACUGGGUACAUAUUGUUAGCUGGUACUUUGCUUGGUAGUUGUGCUUGCGUAUCUGGCAUGUGAUACACGUACCCAGUUCCUUUUCUUUGUACUUGCCACAUCACUUAUCCACUAUGCACUGAAGCCAUACUCCUGCAAUAGGUAGCAAGCUGUUGCCUAUCAAAAAAAAAAAGAUAGCAAGCUGUUGAAAUUAAAAUUUGGUUUAUAGGUCUUUUGCGA